CCUACGGGGUGCAGCAGUGAGGAAUAUUGGUCAAUGGACGAGAGUCUGAACCAGCCAAGUAGCGUGAAGGAUGACUGCCCUAUGGGUUGUAAACUUCUUUUAUAUGGGAAUAAAAUGUUCCACGUGUGGGAUUUUGUAUGUACCAUAUGAAUAAGGAUCGGCUAACUCCGUGCCAGCAGCCGCGGUAAUACGGAGGAUCCGAGAGUUAUCCGGAUUUAUUGGGUUUAAAGGGAGCGUAGGUGGAUUGUUAAGUCAGUUGUGAAAGUUUGCGGCUCAACCGUAAAAUUGCAGUUGAAACUGGCAGUCUUGAGUACAGUAGAGGUGGGCGGAAUUCGUGGUGUAGCGGUGAAAUGCUUAGAUAUCACGAAGAACUCCGAUUGCGAAGGCAGUUCACUGGACUGCAACUGACACUGAGGCUCGAAAGUGUGGGUAUCAAACAGGAUUAGAUACCCCUGUAGUC
rnacentral:rRNA from 1 species